AACGAGACCUUAACCUGCUAAAUAGCCCGCGUCGCUUUGGCGGCGCGCAGGCUUCUUAGAGGGACUAUCGGCUCAAGCCGAUGGAAGUUUGAGGCAAUAACAGGUUAAAUUUCACAGGCCUGUAAAAGUGCAUUCGUGCGCUAGUCUAACGCCGUAGUCCGUGGGGAAGUCCCCGUCUGUCGGGCGGACUGGCAGGCUUCGGCCUGUUUGGCGUAGGCGACACUACCUGGUACAGGGAACGCCG
rnacentral:rRNA from 1 species